rnacentral:rRNA from 1 species
CCUACGGGAGGCAGCAGUGAGGAAUAUUGGUCAAUGGACGAGAGUCUGAACCAGCCAAGUAGCGUGAAGGAUGACUGCCCUAUGGGUUGUAAACUUCUUUUAUAAAGGAAUAAAACGCGGCACGUGUGCCUUUUUGCAUGUACUUUAUGAAUAAGGAUCGGCUAACUCCGUGCCAGCAUCCGCGGUAAUACGGAGGAUCCGAGCGUUAUCCGGCUUUAUUGGGUUUAAAGGGAGCGUAGAUGGGUUGUUAAGUCAGUUGUGAAAGUUUGCGGCUCAACCGUAAAAUUGCAAUUGAUACUGGCAGUCUUGAGUACAGUUGAGGUAGGCGGAAUUCGUGGUGUAGCGGUGAAAUGCUUAGAUAUCACGAAGAACCCCGAUUGCGAAGGCAGCUUACGAAACUGUGACUGACAUUGAUGCUCGAAAGUGUGGGUAUCAAACAGGAUUAGAUACCCUAGUAGUC